rnacentral:lncRNA from 1 species
UAGGGGAAAAGACCACUCCAAUUACAGCAGUUUAUAAGAGAUUCUUUGAGCAUCAGCCAAAGUCUCUUGGAGUCCUACGAACUGAUGUUGUUUCAUGCAUCAGAGCAUAUGCCCAGGGGGGGCAUGUCGUUGGUCUUUGGGUUAUUCUGAAAGGGGCUUUGCUAGCACAACCAGUUUACAGAACUCAAAGAGCUGUUAAUGGAUAUCAGACAACUCUUUCCAUCAUCAUAACAUUAGCAGUGUUUCAAUAAAAUCUUACUUCAUUCAUCUUCCUUGUUUUCUUGGCUACCUCCUCCCUUG